CCAGUAGCUGCGAGCGAACAGGGAAAAGCCCAGCACUGAAUCGCGCGGCCUUCACGGGCCGCCGCGAAAUGUAGUGUUUGGGAGGAUCCACAUUCCCGCGAUUCGGCAAUGCGUCCAAGUCCUUCUUGAACGGGGCCACAUACCCAGAGAGGGUGCCAGGCCCGUAGCGACCGUUGCCUAUUGCGGGAGGAUCUCUCCUUAGAGUCGGGUUGCUUGAGAGUGCAGCCCUAAGUAGGUGGUAAACUCCAUCUAAGGCUAAAUAUUACCACGAGACCGAUAGCGAACAAGUACCGUGAGGGAAAGUUGAAAAGAACUUUGAAGAGAGAGUUCAAUAGUACGUGAAACCGUUCAGGGGUAAACCUGAGAAACCCGAAAGUUCGAACAGGGAGAUUCAGCGCGUCUCCGAUCGAGCGAGUUUGGUCGUAGGCGGUCGUCCCGUUUACGGGGCGAUUUUUCCUGCGUGCCAGACCGACUCGAUAGGAACGUGUGCACUUCUCCUUUAGUAGGACGUCGCGACCCGUUGGGUGUCGGUCUGCGGCCUGCAGUGGAGCCCGUACGCUUGAUCUCGGUCUUGUCGUGCGAACCUGCAAUGUCCUGGCCGACUGCUCGACGGUAUCAAUGUGGCGCGGGGCCGCGACUAGCUCGCGUCCGGCCCGUCACAAGCGCGAAGCGUAACCCGUGUGCCGGACUUAGCGCCGGUUUCGGGCCGAUUCGGCUGCUGGUGGCGGUGUUCCCGGACAGACUCCGAACACGCCCGUCUGCGACGCUUUUGCUUUGGGUACUUUCAGGACCCGUCUUGAAACACGGACCAAGGAGUCUAGCAUGUGCGCGAGUCAUUGGGACUAUCGAAUCCUAAAGGCGCAAUGAAAGUAAAGGCAGAGCCUAGCUCGGCCAAGGGAGGAUGAGUUCUGUGACGGAGCUCCGCACUCCCGGGGUGUCUCGUACUCAUUGCGAGUUGAGGCGCACCUAGAGCGUACACGCUGGGACCCGAAAGAUGGUGAACUAUGCCUGGUCAGGAC
rnacentral:rRNA from 1 species